UGGGGAAUAUUGGACAAUGGGCGCAAGCCUGAUCCAGCCAUGCCGCGUGAGUGAAGAAGGCCUUAGGGUUGUAAAGCUCUUUUGCUAGGGAAGAUAAUGACUGUACCUAGAGAAUAAGCCCCGGCUAACUUCGUGCCAGCAGCCGCGGUAAUACGAAGGGGGCUAGCAUUGCUCGGAAUUACUGGGCGUAAAGCGCACGUAGGCGGGUGAUUAAGUCAGAGGUGAAAGCCUGGAGCUCAACUCCAGAACUGCCUUUGAUACUGAUCAUCUUGAGUUUGUGAGAGGUAAGUGGAAUACCGAGUGUAGAGGUGAAAUUCGUAGAUAUUCGGUGGAACACCAGUGGCGAAGGCGACUUACUGGCACAAUACUGACGCUGAGGUGCGAAAGCGUGGGGAUCAAACAGG
rnacentral:rRNA from 1 species